CUCGCAAUGCUUUGUUUUAAUUAGACAGUCGGAUUCCCCCGGUCCGUGCCAGUUCUGAGUUGGCCGUUUUCUGCCGGCCGAAGCAAGAACCUCAGGCGCGAAGCCCACGGAAAAUGCACAGCUGUGGCUUUCCACAGGAAGGUCCCGACGCUGGUCCGGGCUCGGCCGCACCGCUUUUUACGGCGGCGAGCCUCGCCCAGUCCCGGUGCAGUGCCGUUCCUGCU
rnacentral:lncRNA from 1 species